rnacentral:rRNA from 1 species
GCAGACCACUCCUACGGGAGGCAGCAGUGGGGAAUAUUGCACAAUGGGCGCAAGCCUGAUGCAGCCAUGCCGCGUGUAUGAAGAAGGCCUUCGGGUUGUAAAGUACUUUCAGCAGUGAGGAAGGUGGAUAUGUUAAUAGCAUAUUCAUUUGACGUUAGCUGCAGAAGAAGCACCGGCUAACUCCGUGCCAGCAGCCGCGGUAAUACGGAGGGUGCGAGCGUUAAUCGGAAUUACUGGGCGUAAAGCGCAUGCAGGUGGUUUGUUAAGUCAGAUGUGAAAGCCCGGGGCUCAACCUCGGAAUUGCAUUUGAAACUGGCAAACUAGAGUACUGUAGAGGGGGUAGAAUUUCAGGUGUAGCGGUGAAAUGCGUAGAGAUCUGAAGGAAUACCGGUGGCGAAGGCGGCCCCCUGGACAGAUACUGACACUCAGAUGCGAAAGUGUGGGGAGCAAACAGGAUUAGAUACCCUGGUAG